UAACACAGCCAUAUCACCCUGCAGCCCAAGACUGGUCACCCACUGAAGCUGAGCAGGGUUGAGCCUGGUCAGUACCUGGAUGGGAGACUCCUGGGAAAACUAGGUUGCUGCUGGAA
rnacentral:rRNA from 1 species